AUUGAACGCUGGCGGCAUGCCUUACACAUGCAAGUCGAACGGCAGCACGGGUGCUUGCACCUGGUGGCGAGUGGCGAACGGGUGAGUAAUACAUCGGAACGUACCUUAUCGUGGGGGAUAACGCAGCGAAAGCUGUGCUAAUACCGCAUACGCCCUGAGGGGGAAAGCGGGGGAUCGCAAGACCUCGCGCGAUUAGAGCGGCCGAUGCCUGAUUAGCUUGUUGGUGGGGUAAAAGCCCACCAAGGCGACGAUCAGUAGCUGGUCUGAGAGGACAAUCAGCCACACUGGGAAUGAGACACGGCCCAGACUCCUACGGGAGGCAGCAGUGGGGAAUUUUGGACAAUGGGGACAACCCUGAUCCAGCAAUGCCGCGUGAGUGAAGAAGGCCUUCGGGUUGUAAAGCUCUUUUGUCAGGGAAGAAACACCGGCUCUAACACAGUCCGGGAAUGACGGUACCUGAAGAAUAAGCACCGGCUAACUACGUGCCAGCCGCCGCCGUAA
rnacentral:rRNA from 1 species